GGAGUCUCCUUGGCAAUUUUUUAGUGAUUCUGCUCUUAAGAACCCCAACAACCAAAUGCUUGGACGACGAGUCACAGAUUCAAAGGUAUCUAUUCACUCUAUAGUAUAAUGUUUAUAUAUACAGUCUUGAAACUUUCUUCUCCAUAGAAGAAACUACUGAAGUUAUUUUAUUACAAGUUGCAGGUAGGUCCUUAUGUGUGGCUCACUUAUAAAGAGGUUUAUGAUUCUACCAUCAGAAUUGGUUCUUCAAUGAGAAGCCGUGGUCUCAACCCUGGAGAUUGUUGCGGUAUAUAUGGCUCCAAUUGCCCAGAAUGGAUUACUGCAAUGGAGGUAAUUAAUGAUGUUUUUGUAUUAAGAUUAGAUUCAUGUUGGCCAAUUCUGAUG
rnacentral:misc_RNA from 1 species